rnacentral:rRNA from 1 species
AUUGAACGCUGGCGGCAGGCCUAACACAUGCAAGUCGAACGGUAGCACAGAGAGCUUGCUCUCGGGUGACGAGUGGCGGACGGGUGAGUAACGUCUGGGAAACUGCCCGAUGGAGGGGGAUAACUACUGGAAACGGUAGCUAAUACCGCAUAACGUCGCAAGACCAAAGUGGGGGACCUUCGGGCCUCACACCAUCGGAUGUGCCCAGAUGGGAUGAGCUAGUAGGUGGGGUAAUGGCUCACCUAGGCGACGAUCCCUAGCUGGCUCGGGAGGAGAACCAGCCACACCGGAACUGAGACAAGGUCCAGACUGCGACGGGAGGCAGCAGUGGGGAAUAUUGCACAAUGGGCGCAAGCCUGAUGCAGCUAUGCCGCGUGUAUGAAGAAGGCCUUCGGGUUGUAAAGUACUUUCAGCGGGGAGGAAGGCGGUGAAGUUAAUAGCUUCACCGAUUGACGUUACCCGCAGAAGAAGCACCGGCUAACUCCGUGCCAGCCGCCGCAGUAA